GACGAACCGUGCGAACGUUGUUCGGAAUCACUGGGCUUAAAGGGCGCGUAGGCGGGCCCUCAAGUCCGGGGUGAAAUCCUCCCGCCUAACGGGAGAAGAGCCUCGGAGACUGAGGGCCUCGAGGGGGUAGGGCGUGCGGAACUAUGGGUGGAGCGGUGAAAUGCGUUGAUAUCGGCUGGAACUCCGGUGGCGAAAGCGGCACGCUGGACCUCUACUGACGCUGAGGCGCGAAAGCUAGGGGAGCGAACGGGAUUAGAAACCCCUGUAGU
rnacentral:rRNA from 1 species